rnacentral:rRNA from 1 species
GACGAACGCUGGCGGCGUGCUUAACACAUGCAAGUCGAACGGUAAGGCCCUUCGGGGUACACGAGUGGCGAACGGGUGAGUAACACGUGGGUGAUCUGCCCUGCACUUCGGGAUAAGCCUGGGAAACUGGGUCUAAUACCGGAUAGGACCACUGCCUGCAUGGGUGGUGGUGGCAAGCUUUUGCGGUGUGGGAUGGGCCCGCGGCCUAUCAGCUUGUUGGUGGGGUGAUGGCCUACCAAGGCGACGACGGGUAGCCGGCGUGAGAGGGUGAGCGGCCACACUGGGACUGAGAUACGGCCCAGACUCCUACGGGAGGCAGCAGUGGGGAAUAUUGCACAAUGGGCGCAAGCCUGAUGCAGCGACGCCGCGUGAGGGAUGACGGCCUUCGGGUUGUAAACCUCUUUCAGCACCGACGAAGCGCAAGUGACGGUAGGUGCAGAAGAAGGACCGGCCAACUACGUGCCAGCCGCCGCAGUAA